GAUGAACGCUGGCGGCGUGCCUAAUACAUGCAAGUCGAGCGAACGGACGAGAAGCUUGCUUCUCUGAUGUUAGCGGCGGACGGGUGAGUAACACGUGGAUAACCUACCUAUAAGACUGGGAUAACUUCGGGAAACCGGAGCUAAUACCGGAUGAUAUUUUGAACCGCAUGGUUCAAAAGUGAAAGACGGUCUUGCUGUCACUUAUAGAUGGAUCCGCGCUGCAUUAGCUAGUUGGUAAGGUAACGGCUUACCAAGGCAACGAUGCAUGGCCGACCUGAGAGGGUGAUCGGACACACUGGAACUGAGACACGGUCCAGACUCCUACGGGAGGCAGCAGUAGGGAAUCUUCCGCAAUGGGCGAAAGCCUGACGGAGCAACGCCGCGUGAGUGAUGAAGGUCUUCGGAUCGUAAAACUCUGUUAUUAGGGAAGAACAUAUGUGUAAGUAACUGUGCACAUCUUGACGGUACCUAAUCAGAAAGCCACGGCUAACUACGUG
rnacentral:rRNA from 1 species